UCAACAGUGCUUCAUGUUAGGACUAAUUUUGAAGCAUUCCAGAGUAUUCCUGGGUACAACAGUGUGAUGGAUGUGCAGACAUGCAUUUGAGACGUGCCUAAAGCCACACUCAGGAUAACUUCUGUGAAUCACUUCUCUCUUGGGUGAAAUUCAAUAAAACAGAAAAUAGCAGAAAAGAAUGGUUUAAAUUCAAAAGCAGCUGUACAAGAUCUUAAGAGGAAGGAAGCAACUGAGAAACUUUGUGAUGGUUGGCUGCUCUCCAGUUUCAAGAGUGAUCCUCAGAAAGACCAUCAGAGGAGGGAAAACAGCUUUCAUAUUGUACCCAGUAAGCAGAGAGGCUCUCUUCCUAUCAGGAAUAGGGAAGCUGUGUGUGAAAUCAAGGGGCUCCAGAAGAACACAGGAGAUCUCUGGUAAAGACCCAGUUAUAUAGUUCAGAUUCUGCAUGUGCUGCCAGAAGUCUGA